AUUGAACGCUGGCGGCAUGCCUAACACAUGCAAGUCGAACGGAGGUAGGGGCAACUCUACUUCAGUGGCGGACGGGUGAGGAAUGCGUCGGAAUCUACCCUAUGGUGGGGGAUAACACAGGGAAACUUGUGCUAAUACCGCAUAAUGUCGAGAGACCAAAGCAGGGGACCGCAAGGCCUUGCGCGAUAGGAUGAGCCGACGCCCGAUUAGCUUGUUGGUAGGGUAAUGGCCUACCAAGGCGACGAUCGGUAGCUGGUCUGAGAGGAUGAUCAGCCACACUGGGACUGAGACACGGCCCAGACUCCUACGGGAGGCAGCAGUGGGGAAUAUUGGACAAUGGGCGCAAGCCUGAUCCAGCAAUGCCGCGUGUGUGAAGAAGGCCUGCGGGUUGUAAAGCACUUUUGUUCGGGAAGAAAUCAUGCUGGUUAAUACCUGGUAUGGAUGACGGUACCGAAAGAAUAAGCACCGGCUAACUUCGUGCCAGCAGCCG
rnacentral:rRNA from 1 species